rnacentral:tRNA from 1 species
GCUGAGGUAGUCUAGCGGGAAGGCGCGAGGCUGGAAACCUCGUGAGGCGUUUGUCUCUCGGGAGUUCAAAUCUCCCCCUCAGCG